rnacentral:misc_RNA from 1 species
GUUUUUAUAUUGUCAGUUUCCUUUAACAAACAAGUGAAGUAACUAAGAAGAAGAAGAUGGUGAAGAAGAAAGAGAAGAAAGCAAACGUCUCCGGCAAGCCCAAGCACUCUCUGGACACGAACCGUAACAAUGGUACCCACGAUGGCUCAUCGCGUAGCGCCGCCACUGUCCGCCGUCUUAAGAUGUACAACACCAAGCCCAAGCGGGAUAGCAAGGGUAAAAUUUUGAAGUAUGAAUUGCAAUCCAAGGAGCUUCCCAACACACGCAUCCAACCUGACCGCCGGUGGUUUGGAAACACACGGGUUGUAAAUCAAAAGGAGCUUGAAUUUUUUCGCGAAGAGCUCCAAAAUCGGAUGUCAAGUAGCUAUAAUGUCAUAUUGAA